rnacentral:rRNA from 1 species
GAUCAACGCUGGCGGCGUGCCUAAUGCAUGCAAGUCGAGCGGGGUGGGUUUCGGCCCACUUACGCGGCGGACGGGUGCGGAACACGUGGGCAACCUGCCCCGAGGUGGGGGAUAGCCGGUGGAAACACCGGGUAAUUCCGCAUGAGGUCACCAGUCGGAGGACUGGUGAGGAAAGGGUCUUUGGACUCGCCUUGGGAGGGGCCUGCGGCCGAUCAGCUAGACGGUGGGGUAACGGCCUACCGUGGCGAUGAUCGGUAGCUGGUCUGAGAGGACGGCCAGCCACACGGGGACUGAGACACGGCCCCGACUCCUACGGGAGGCAGCAGCAAGGAAUCUUCCGCAAUGGGCGAAAGCCUGACGGAGCAACGCCGCGUGUGGGAUGACGCCUUUCGGGGUGUAAACCACUUUUCUCAGGGAAGAAGCACUGACGGUACCUGAGGAAGAAGGACCGGCUAACUACGUG